rnacentral:rRNA from 1 species
GUAAGCUCGAACGAGCGUGCGGUGGAUGCCUUGGCGCAGAUGGCCGAAGAAGGGCGUGGCCAACCACGAAACGCGUCGGUGAGGUGUUAGCAACCUAACCCGGCGAUACCCGAAUGGGGAAACCCGGCACCCGUAUAGGGGUGUCAUCUCUAUAUGAGAAGGCUAAGCGGGCGAACUGAAACAUCUUAGUAGCUCGCGAGAAGAAAUCAACCGAGAUUCCCUGAGUAGUGGCGAGCGAAAGGGGAAGAGCCUAAACCACCUAGAUGUCAAGGCUGUGGCCGUUGUCUAGGAGGUGUUGUGGGGCUGCCAGGAGGAGACCACAGAUCCUCGCGUUUAAUGCAUGCUAGCCGAAUGGUUCAGGAAAGACCAACCAAAGAGGGUAAUGGUCCCGUAGGCGAAAGCAUCGCAAGCGGCGUGUGGCAGUACCCGAGUAAGGCGGAGCCCUGAGAUUCCGUCUGAAUCUGGGUGGACCACCAUCCAAGGCUAAACACCAUCUGCGACCGAUAGUGUACCAGUACCGUGAGGGAAAGGUGAAAAGAACCGGGAGAGCCGGAGUGAAAUAGAUCUGAAACCGUACGCUUACAAUCAGUCAGAGCCCGUCUAAUCGGGUGAUGGCGUACCUUUUGUAGAAUGGACCGGCGAGUUAUUUUCAGCAGCGAUAGGUUAAGACGGUGAACGUCGAAGCCGCAGGGAAACCGAGUCUCAACAGGGCGACUAGUUGCUGGAGAUAGACCCGAAACUGGGUGAGCUACCCAUGGCCAGGGUGAAGCGUGUGUAACAACUCGUGGAGGCCCGAACCAGGGACGGUUGAAAACGUCUUGGAUGAGCUGUGGGUAGAGGUGAAACGCCAAUCGAACCCAGAUAUAGCUGGUUCUCCCCGAAAUAUAUUUAGGUAUAGCCUUGCGUGAUCCCCAUCGGAGGUAGAGCACUGAAAGGACUAGGGGCCUUACCCGGUUACCAAACCCUAUCAAACUCCGAAUGCCGAUGGGCAAAGCGCAGGAGUCAGUCCGCGGGGGAUAAGCUUCGCGGGCAAGAGGGAAACACCCCAGACCAUCGUCUAAGGCCCCUAAAUUCUAGCUUAGUGGGAAAGGAUGUGGAGAGGUUCAGACAACCAGGAGGUUGGCUUAGAAGCAGCCACCCUUUAAAGAGUGCGUAAUAGCUCACUGGUCGAGUCUUUCUGCGCCGAAAAUGUAACGGGGCUCAAGCUAGAUGCCGAAGCCGUGGAUCAAUGCAAAUUGGUGGUAGGGGAGCGUCGCGCGUUAGGUAGAAGGAUGACCGUGAGGGCGUCUGGACGAAGCGCGAGUGAGAAUGCCGGUAUGAGUAGCGAAAAAGAGCGUGAGAAUCGUUCUGGCCGAAAACCCAAGGUUUCUUAAGCAAGGCUCGUCCUCUUAAGUUUAGGCGGUCCUAAGGCGAGGCCGAGAGGCGUAGUCGAUGGACAGCAGGUUGAUAUUCCUGCCCCACGUUUUGGAGCGAUGCAGGGACGCGGUGAACAAGAUCAGCGGACUGCUGGAUGUUCGUGAGCGGGCGUAGGUGUGCCGUAGGUAAAUCCGCGGCAGGAAACCGAGACCCGGGACGCAAGAAGCCGCAAGGCGACUGAAGUGAUUGGAUGCACCGACAAGAAAAGCUGCUAAGCGAUGAAGAAACGUGACCGUACCGAUAACCGACACAGGUGGGUAGGCUGAGUAUGCUAAGGCCAGCGUGAUAACCCUCGCUAAGGAACUCGGCAAAUUAGCUCCGUAACUUCGGGAUAAGGAGCGCCCUCAGUAGGCUGACCACUUCGCGUGGAAGGUUGAAAGGGGUCGCAGUGAAAUGGCCCGGGCGACUGUUUAUCAAAAACAUAGGUCCCUGCUAAACCGUAAGGUGAUGUAUAGGGGCUGACGCCUGCCCAAUGCUAGUAGGUUAAGGGGAGGUGUGCAAGCACCGAUCCGAAGCCCUAGUGAAUGGCGGCCGUAACUAUAACGGUCCUAAGGUAGCGAAAUUCCUUGUCGGGUAAG